rnacentral:rRNA from 1 species
AGGGAUCAUUACACAAAUAUGAAGGCGGGCUGGAACCUCUCGGGGUUACAGCCUUGCUGAAUUAUUCACCCUUGUCUUUUGCGUACUUCUUGUUUCCUUGGUGGGUUCGCCCACCACUAGGACAAACAUAAACCUUUUGUAAUUGCAAUCAGCGUCAGUAACAAAUUAAUAAUUACAACUUUCAACAACGGAUCUCUUGGUUCUGGCAUCGAUGAAGAACGCAGCGAAAUGCGAUAAGUAGUGUGAAUUGCAGAAUUCAGUGAAUCAUCGAAUCUUUGAACGCACAUUGCGCCCUUUGGUAUUCCAAAGGGCAUGCCUGUUCGAGCGUCAUUUGUACCCUCAAGCUUUGCUUGGUGUUGGGCGUCUUGUCUCUAGCUUUGCUGGAGACUCGCCUUAAAGUAAUUGGCAGCCGGCCUACUGGUUUCGGAGCGCAGCACAAGUCGCACUCUCUAUCAGCAAAGGUCUAGCAUCCAUUAAGCCUUUUUUUCAACUUUUGACCUCGGAUCAGGUAGGGAUACCCGCUGAACUUAAGCAUAUCAAUAAGCGGAGGAAAAGAAACCAACAGGGAUUGCCCUAGUAACGGCGAGUGAAGCGGCAACAGCUCAAAUUUGAAAUCUGGCUCUUUUAGAGUCCGAGUUGUAAUUUGCAGAGGGCGCUUUGGCUUUGGCAGCGGUCCAAGUUCCUUGGAACAGGACGUCACAGAGGGUGAGAAUCCCGUACGUGGUCGCUGGCUAUUGCCGUGUAAAACCCCUUCGACGAGUCGAGUUGUUUGGGAAUGCAGCUCUAAAUGGGAGGUACAUUUCUUCUAAAGCUAAAUAUUGGCCAGAGACCGAUAGCGCACAAGUAGAGUGAUCGAAAGAUGAAAAGCACUUUGGAAAGAGAGUCAAACAGCACGUGAAAUUGUUGAAAGGGAAGCGCUUGCAGCCAGACUUGCUUACAGUUGCUCAUCCGGGUUUUUACCCGGUGCACUCUUCUACGGGCAGGCCAGCAUCAGUUUGGGCGGUUGGAUAAAGGUCUCUGUCAUGUACCUCCUCUCGGGGAGAUCUUAUAGGGGAGACGACAUGCAACCAGCCUGGACUGAGGUCCGCGCAUCUGCUAAGAUGCUGGCGUAAUGGCUGUAAGCGGCC